UUGAUUUUAUAAAGAGGGGAAAGUGGCUGAGAUAUUGCAAGAGAGAAUUUAGACUUCAGAGACAUGGUGGCGGGUUAAUGAAGAAUUUCAUUAGGAGACUGUGUUACCCCCAGAGUGCACUCAGGUCCACUAGUUGAUAAGUACGAUAAGUACAAAAGUCCAACAAUUGCAGAUUGUUUCAAUGAUUUCAUUUGUGUGUAUUUCGUUGAUUGAUAUGUAUUGUUGUUGACACUGUUAAGUUUUUAUUUGACGAUGACCUGAUAAUGACGAUAAUGAUGACGACUUUUUAUUUCAUGACUUAGUGAAUUGUGUUGUUGCACCUUUAAUUUCAAUGUUUCUAACCUUGUAACGUAAAUAUGUCAGACGCCUUCGAAGAGAUUCAAGCUAUAAAGAUCAAGCGAAAUAGCUUACGUGAGAAAUUGCAGAAGAGAAAACGAGAGAGGAAUGAAUUAUUUACUUUGACGACUCUACCUACGAUUACGACUAGUGCAUUGAUUACUAAGACUGUUAUAGUGAAUGAAGCCGAUGCUCCAUCAGGACAUCACUCGAAAUACAAUGAAUAUGAGAGGGAUAUUCUGAGUAUUCUUCAUGUAACUCUUCCUGACAGUCCAAUCACGUCAGCUGACCUCAGUGUUCAAUUGAGGAAGAAUUUGAGUGCUGAUGUACUUCAUAGCGAUGUGAAGGCUAUUCUAGAGAGAUUGGCAGCGCAGGAUGUUAUUAAUUUUCCAUUAAUUACCAAUCAUUUCAGAAUGAAAGAAGUGACUGAGGAUGGUGUUCUGGGUUACACAGUCCUCACUAUUCUAAACACCCAAAGUAAAACCGAAGAAACCUUGAUCAACCAUACCCCGGACAUUGGACCCCGCGAGAAAACUGACGAUACUGACGAGCCUGAGGAGGAAGACAUUGAUGGACCACCGGAGAAGCAUCCCAAACAGGAGCAGAAAAAUGCUGAGGACAUCAUGUCUCUCAUUCUCAUGCCCACAAUUAGAGAGAAAGAGAGUAAAAAAGUUGGCGAGCAAAUUCUUGAUCUUCUAUCCAAACAAACAUCCAAAGAAAAAUCACUGGCUGAGAGGUUUAGGUCUCAGGGAGGAGCUCAGGUGAUGGAGUUCUGUCCCCACGGUACCAGGGUCGACUGCACCAAGUUGAAUGGUGGAACAACAACUAAAUGCAAAAAGUUACAUUUCAAAAAAAUUAUUCAGGGACACACGGAUGAAUCUUUAGGUGACUGCAGCUUUUUGAAUACUUGUUUUCACAUGGAUACUUGCAAAUAUGUACACUACGAAGUAGACGGUUCAAUAGCACUUUCCAAAGAAUCCUCAAUCGAUUCAGAAAGCGGAAAUCCUCCCAAUACAAUGACCAAAGCCUCAGAAACUCAGGGAUCAGUGUCAUCACCAGGAUCAGGCACAGAACUUACUCUCUACCCUCCUCAGUGGAUCCAAUGUGACCUGAGAUACCUAGACAUGACAGUUCUCGGAAAAUUCGCUGUGAUAAUGGCUGAUCCUCCUUGGGACAUUCACAUGGAAUUGCCCUAUGGCACAAUGUCUGACGACGAAAUGCGUCAGUUAGGGAUUCCAGCCCUUCAGGACGAGGGUUUACUCUUCCUCUGGGUAACUGGCCGAGCUAUGGAGCUCGGCAGGGAGUGCCUCCAACUGUGGGGUUAUGAAAGAGUCGAUGAGAUCAUCUGGGUAAAAACGAAUCAACUCCAAAGGAUCAUCAGGACAGGGAGAACUGGACACUGGCUCAAUCAUGGCAAGGAACAUUGCCUCGUCGGUAUGAAAGGCAACCCUAGGAUCAACAAAGGCCUCGAUUCUGAUGUUAUUGUCGCUGAAGUACGUGCAACCAGUCACAAACCCGACGAAAUUUACGGUAUCAUCGAGAGGAUGAGUCCUAGUACGAGAAAAAUCGAAUUGUUUGGCAGACCACACAAUGUUCAACCUAAUUGGAUAACUCUGGGGAAUCAGGUCGAUGGGGUACAUCUGAUCGAUCCAGUUCUCAUCAAAGCCUUCAGAAAACGCUAUCCAGACGGAAAUUCAAUGAAACCUAAUAAAUCUUAAGAUUAUUCAAGUGGGAAAAGUUGCGACCAUAAAAUUUGAUAAUUCUUUCAACGAAUAUCAAUCGUUAAUUGAUUUCAUAACAGAAAUUGUGCCACUUUAAAAAUCUCCAAUUCCACUCUAACGAUUCAUCAAUAAAAUAACAGAUCUUUAGAUUGGACGUUCCCGAACGGUUCUUUUGGACACUUGCUUAUUACGUAAAACCC